GACGAACGCUGGCGGCGCGCUUAACACAUGCAAGUCGAACGGAAAGGCCUGCUUUCCCUUGUGGAUUGCGGGUACUCGAGUGGCGAACGGGUGAGUAACACGUGAGUGAUCUGCCCCCAACUUGGGUAUAAGCCUGGGAAACUGGGUCUAAUUCCCGAUAGGACUGCAGGGUGGUGCCUGUGGUGGAAAACGAUUUUCUAGUGGUUGGGGAUGAGCUCGCGGCCUAUCAGCUUGUUGGUGGGGUAAUGGCUUACCAAGGCGGCGACGGGUAGCCGGCCUGAGAGGGUGGACGGCCACAUUGGGACUGAGAUACGGCCCAGACUCCUACGGGAGGCAGCAGUGGGGAAUAUUGCACAAUGGGCGGAAGCCUGAUGCAGCGACGCCGCGUGGGGGAUGACGGCCUUCGGGUUGUAAACUCCUUUCGACCGCGAGGAAGCCACCUGGUUGGAAGGGUGGUGACGGUAGUGGUAGAAGAAGCACCGGCUAACUACGUG
rnacentral:rRNA from 1 species